GCUGGUGUGGCUCAAAGGCAGAGCAGAGGUAUCGUAAACCUCAGGUUGCAAGUUCAAUUCUUGUCACCAGCUCCA
rnacentral:tRNA from 1 species